rnacentral:rRNA from 1 species
GUAGUCAUAUGCUUGUCUCAAAGAUUAAGCCAUGCAUGUCUAAGUAUAAGCAAUUAUACCGUGAAACUGCGAAUGGCUCAUUAAAUCAGUUAUCGUUUAUUUGAUAGUACCUUACCACUUGGAUAACCGUGGUAAUUCUAGAGCUAAUACAUGCUAAAAACCCCGACUUCGGAAGGGGUGUGUUUAUUAGAUAAAAAACCAAUGCCCUUCGGGGCUCUUUGGUGAUUCAUGAUAACCUAACGGAUCGCAUGGCCUUGCGCCGGCGACGGUUCAUUCAAAUUUCUGCCCUAUCAACUUUCGAUGGUAAGGUAUUGGCUUACCAUGGUUUCAACGGGUAACGGGGAAUUAGGGUUCGAUUCCGGAGAGGGAGCCUGAGAAACGGCUACCACAUCCAAGGAAGGCAGCAGGCGCGCAAAUUACCCAAUCCCGACACGGGGAGGUAGUGACAAUAAAUACUGAUACAGGGCUCUUUAGGGUCUUGUAAUUGGAAUGAGUACAAUUUAAACCCCUUAACGAGGAACAAUCGGGGGGCAAGUCUGGUGCCAGCAGCC